CUGCUUUUGCCACGAACCAAUCGGUGCUUCUGUAUCCAAGUCAACUUGGAAUGUUGAGCUAUUUAAAUCCCGAGAAGAUGGAUCUAAAUGAUUGACUUUUACAUUGAAUAUCGUUUGAUUGAAAAGUUCAUCGCUGUAUAUGUUUAAGAUAUUGGGUGGCGUCCAGCCCAGUGUUUCUUACCUUCUGAUGUUUGUCCAAAGGGGCUGAAUUGUGGGACAUCCAGCGACAGAUUGACUCUCUGUGAGCCCAGAAGUUCAGAGGCUCCACAGGGACGUGCUCCUCCUGAGCUUUAACACCGCAGUGCGCUACAUGAUCAGGGAGGCAUUCCGACGCUGGAAACCUCUCGGCCUAUCAGACUGUGAGUGAAAACAUGAGCCACGCCCUCCCUCUCUUGAGUGACAGCAUGAUAGGAGGAGCCAGUUUCCUUUCUGUUCCUGAGCUGCUAGAACCGGCCAGUUUUCAGGAACCCAGAGGAGAUCAAAGAGCACGGUGGGAACAUGGCGCUGGGCCUGAUUCUCUCUGCAGGCUGUCAUUAGAAAGCCAAUAAACUUCACCACAGCUAGUCUCUUAUAUUUAGGAUAUUGAUUUUCAUCUCAACAAGAACAACAACAAAAUAGUCCUCUCUGAAAUGCAUGGGAUUCACAUGACUUCACAUGUCAUUAAGAACUGUGGAAACGUCGAUUGAGGAGCAUUUCAUCCAGCGGUGUUGAGCGUGAGAUUGAUGGACAGGUGAUGUUCUCCAGCGCUCAUCUCCAGGAGUGUUUGACUGAACUGACUUUUCUGCAAUGAAUCAUGAGCGGAGUGUCUUCCAGCAAUAUUUCCAGUUUUAUGAGCCAAUUCUUCAACAGCAGGAACAACUUCUUUACAAGAAAGAGCAGGUGGCGGAUGUGUGUCGUGGCUCUGAAGAGAAGCUUAGGUCAACAUAUAUAGGCAUAUAUAUAAAAAAACUAAUAAUAAAAAUGUCAAAAACACAAUAAAAUUACUUAAACAUUGUGAAAAGAAUAUAAAAAAUAAAAUUAAAAUCUGUAUCAAUGGUAUUAAAUGUAAAAGUGAAAAGAAUGUUGACUCUUUUUCGGCCUCGCUCUUUUACGUUUUGUCUUUAUGCAUUCAUCAACACUAUAUCCCUCGGUAAACAUCACAUUUUCUGCUGUUGAAAUUUCAUUUUGAAGGUCCUCUUGUGUCCAAGUC